GGCCAACCGGGAACGCAUUUGAGACUGCCCAGCUGGAGUUUGGCAGAGGGGGGUGGAAUUCCACGUGUAGCAGUGAAAUGCGUAGAGAUGUGGAGGAACACCGAUGGCGAAGGCAGCCCCCUGGGCCAAUACUGACGCUCAUGCACGAAAGCGUGGGGAGCAAACAGGAUUAGAUACCCUGGUAGUCCACGCCCUAAACGAUGUCAACUAGGUGUUGG
rnacentral:rRNA from 1 species